GAUGAACGCUGGCGGCGUGCCUAAUACAUGCAAGUCGAGCGAACAGACGAGGAGCUUGCUCCUCUGACGUUAGCGGCGGACGGGUGAGUAACACGUGGAUAACCUACCUAUAAGACUGGGAUAACUUCGGGAAACCGGAGCUAAUGCCGGAUAAUAUAUUGAACCGCAUGGUUCAAUAGUGAAAGACGGUUUUGCUGUCACUUAUAGAUGGAUCCGCGCCGCAUUAGCUAGUUGGUAAGGUAACGGCUUACCAAGGCAACGAUGCGUAGCCGACCUGAGAGGGUGAUCGGCCACACUGGAACUGAGACACGGUCCAGACUCCUACGGGAGGCAGCAGUAGGGAAUCUUCCGCAAUGGGCGAAAGCCUGACGGAGCAACGCCGCGUGAGUGAUGAAGGUCUUCGGAUCGUAAAACUCUGUUAUUAGGGAAGAACAAAUGUGUAAGUAACUAUGCACGUCUUGACGGUACCUAAUCAGAAAGCCACGGCUAACUACGUG
rnacentral:rRNA from 1 species